rnacentral:rRNA from 1 species
UACGAAGGGGGGCGAGCGUUGUUCGGAAUUACUGGGCGUAAAGCGUGCGCAGGCGGUUCGUUAAGUCAGAUGUGAAAGCCCCGGGCUCAACCUGGGAACUGCAUUUGAAACUGGCGGGCUUGAGUGUGGCAGAGGGGGGGUGGAAUUCCGCGUGUAGCAGUGAAAUGCGUAGAGAUCGGGAGGAACAUCCGUGGCGAAGGCGACUACCUGGACCAGCACUGACACUGAGGCACGAAAGCGUGGGGAGCAAACAGG